AUGCAUGCGUGCGUUCAUAGGGUGAGUGUGUGUGUAUGUAUGAGCAUCUACGAGGUGCGGCAUCAUCUUCAUGUCAUGUUGCCGCCGAGAGUAGCAGCCAACGGCAGGCGGUGGUUUGGAGGAGGAUCACAUGCCCAUUCGUGGGUUCAUCUGGUGGACGUAGCAACAAAACGAAAGCUAUGUAUGCUGGGAGCUAAGAGCAACGACUUGAUAAAAAAGGGGGAGAUAUGGCGUCUGGCAACAGCAGCCGUUCUUCAUAAGGAUUUUACUCACUUUGCUAAUAACAAUCGCGCUUUGGAGGAGCUUGGGCCUAUGGUGGAAGAGGUUACCGGAACUAGAAGAUUUCUAGCUAUUUAUUGCACCUCGGCAUUAUCAGGUUCGCUGAUGAGUUACUGGUUUAACCCCGCACGUUCUAUUGGUGCAUCCGGUGCUAUUUGUGGAUUGAUUGGUGCAAAAGCAGUUUAUAUGUGGAGGCACCGGGAGUUUGUGGACAAGGCAAAUGAAACUCUAGUGGAUAUUGCACUUGUGGUUCUCAUUAAUCUGGCAAUUGGCCUCUUCUUAAAGCACGACAUUGACAACUGUGGACAUUUGGGAGGCUUGCUUGGGGGAGCGGCUGUCGAAUGGUUUGUAGGUCCACAUUGGAAGAAGCAUGCUGGGCCGUAUGCACGGGAGGCGUUCCAAGAUAGGGCACCCCUUGUUUGGUUCACGAACAAUUAG
rnacentral:rRNA from 1 species